GGCAGUGGUGGCUCAGUGGUUAAGGCUCUGGGUUACUGAUCAGAAGGUCGGGGGCUCAAGCCCCAGCACUGCCA